GCAAACUUGGUCAUUUAGAGGAAGUAAAAGUCGUAACAAGGUUUCCGUAGGUGAACCUGCGGAAGGAUCAUUAACGUAUCUCUGGCGGGGCCCGGCCCGCCCUGCUCCGGUCGAGAGGCCGUGCAGCGGGCGACCGUCCCUGACCAAACCUUCACAAACCCACCGUGCACCUUCACGGCGGAGGGCGUCGCUGGCGAGAGCCGGCCCGCUCGAUGCCGUUCCACAAACACCUGUACAACAGUAUGACUUGCGGCCCCGAGUCGCCUAUAAACGUAACAACUUUCAACAACGGAUCUCUUGGCUCUCGCAUCGAUGAAGAACGCAGC
rnacentral:misc_RNA from 1 species